UGAUUUUCCGUAAUGAUCUGGUGCAG
rnacentral:piRNA from 1 species